GAUGAACGCUGGCGAGAUGCCUUACACAUGCAAGUCGUACGGGGAUUUUUAAUUCAAGUGGCGGACGGGUGAGUAACACGUAAGAAUUUGCCUUUAGGAGGGGGACAACAACUGGAAACGGUUGCUAAUACCCCAUAUGCUUUCGAGUGAAAUGGAUUUUUCCGCCUAAAGAGAAGCUUGCGGCUGAUUAGCUUGUUGGUGAGGUAAUGGCUCACCAAGGCGACGAUCAGUAUCUGGUUUGAGAGGAUGAUCAGACACACUGGAACUGAGACACGGUCCAGACUCCUACGGGAGGCAGCAGUGGGGAAUUUUGGACAAUGGGCGCAAGCCUGAUCCAGCCAUUCCGCCGUGC
rnacentral:rRNA from 1 species